GUAGGGAAUCUUCCACAAUGGGCGCAAGCCUGAUGGAGCAACACCGCGUGAGUGAAGAAGGGUUUCGGCUCGUAAAGCUCUGUUGUUAAAGAAGAACACGUAUGAGAGUAACUGUUCAUACGUUGACGGUAUUUAACCAGAAAGUCACGGCUAACUACGUGCCAGCAGCCGCGGUAAUACGUAGGUGGCAAGCGUUAUCCGGAGUUAUUGGGCGUAAAGAGAGUGCAGGCGGUUUUCUAAGUCUGAUGUGCAAGCCUUCGGCUUAACCGGAGAAGUGCAUCGGAAACUGGAUAACUUGAGUGCAGAAGAGGGUAGUGGAACUCCAGGUGUAGCGGUGGAAUGCGUAGAUAUAUGGAAGAACACCAGUGGCGAAGGCGGCUACCUGGUCUGCAACUGACGCUGAGACUCGAAAGCAUGGGUAGCGAACAGGAUUAGAAACCCGGGUAGUCC
rnacentral:rRNA from 1 species